CCUCCUUAUACGAUUUAGAACUUAUUUGUUCGUAGUGUCCACACAGAUGAUUGUUAGUUAGUUUUACCCUCUGGGUUAACUAAUUAAUAUGCUCUUUAAAAAUUUGGAAAAGCUGAUAAUAAAAUUCGUAUGAAUAACAUUGUUAUUUGUACAGAGUUUUCGAAAGUAAAAAAGAAUGAUAGCAGUAUCAUUCAGUGCCAAUUUAAUCCUCGGAUUAAUUGGUAUCUACUUUAGUAUUCAAUAUUAACUUUUGGCGAAGUUAAACUGUCACGAAACAAAGACCCGUUUGGGUUGUAUGGUUAAGUGACUAAGCGUACACGGUGGAUGCA
rnacentral:misc_RNA from 1 species